CGCGUGAAGGAAGAAUGUCCUAUGGAUUGUAAACUUCUUUUGUAAGGGAGUAAAAAAGAGUACGUGUACUCUAUUGUAUGUACUUUACGAAUAAGGAUCGGCUAACUCCGUGCCAGCAGCCGCGGUAAUACGGAGGAUCCGAGCGUUAUCCGGAUUUAUUGGGUUUAAGGGUGCGUAGGCGGACCCGUAAGUCAGUGGUGAAAGUUUGCAGCUCAACUGUAAAAUUGCCAUUGAAACUGCGGAUCUUGAGUGUAAAUGAGGUAGGCGGAAUGUGUUGUGUAGCGGUGAAAUGCUUAGAUAUAACACAGAACACCAAUUGCGAAGGCAGCUUACUGGGAUACAACUGACGCUGAGGCACGAAAGCGUGGGGAUCAAACAGGAUUAGAUACCCUGGUAGUCCACGCAGUAAACGAUGAAUACUAGCUGUAUGCGAUAUACUGUAUGUGGCAAAGCGAAAGCGUUAAGUAUUCCACCUGGGGAGUACGUUCGCAAGAAUGAAACUCAAAGGAAUUGACGGGGGCCCGCACAAGCGGAGGAACAUGUGGUUUAAUUCGAUGAUACGCGAGGAACCUUACCCGGGCUUGAAAUGCAUCUGACCGACGAGGAAACUUGUCUUCUAGCAAUAGCAGAUGUGUAGGUGCUGCAUGGUUGUCGUCAGCUCGUGCCGUGAGGUGUCGGCUUAAGUGCCAUAACGAGCGCAACCCUUAUCAUUAGUUACUAACAGGUUAAGCUGAGGACUCUAGUGAGACUGCCACCGUAAGGUGUGAGGAAGGUGGGGAUGACGUCAAAUCAGCACGGCCCUUACGUCCGGGGCGACACACGUGUUACAAUGGGGGGUACAGAGGGUUGCUACUUGGUGACAAGA
rnacentral:rRNA from 1 species